UACGGGAGGCAGCAGUGGGGAAUAUUGCACAAUGGGCGUAAGCCUGAUGCAGCCAUGCCGCGUGUAUGAAAAAGGCCUUCGGGUUGUAAAGUACUUUCAGUCGUGAGGAAGGUGUUAAGGUUAAUAACCUUAGCAAUUGACGUUAGCGACAGAAGAAGCACCGGCUAACUCCGUGCCAGCAGCCGCGGUAAUACGGAGGGUGCGAGCGUUAAUCGGAAUUACUGGGCGUAAAGGGCACGCAGGCGGUUAAUUAAGUUGGAUGUGAAAUCCCCGGGCUUAACCUGGGAAUGGCAUUCAAGACUGGUUAGCUAGAGUCUUGUAGAGGGGGGUAGAAUUCCAUGUGUAGCGGUGAAAUGCGUAGAGAUGUGGAGGAAUACCGGUGGCGAAGGCGGCCCCUGGACAAAGACUGACGCUCAUGUGCGAAAGCGUGGGGAGCAAACAGGGAUUAGAUACC
rnacentral:rRNA from 1 species